AUUUGAACUGUGACACGAGGAUUUUCAGUCCUCUGCUCUACCAGCUGAG
rnacentral:tRNA from 1 species